AGUGAACGCUGGCGGUAGGCCUAACACAUGCAAGUCGAACGGCAGCACAGUAAGAGCUUGCUCUUACGGGUGGCGAGUGGCGGACGGGUGAGGAAUACAUCGGAAUCUACUUUUUCGUGGGGGAUAACGUAGGGAAACUUACGCUAAUACCGCAUACGACCUACGGGUGAAAGCAGGGGAUCUUCGGACCUUGCGCGAUUGAAUGAGCCGAUGUCGGAUUAGCUAGUUGGCGGGGUAAAGGCCCACCAAGGCGACGAUCCGUAGCUGGUCUGAGAGGAUGAUCCGCCACACUGGAACUUAGACACGGUCCAGACUCCUACGGGAAGGAGCAGUGGGGAAUAUUGGACAAUGGGCGCAAGCCUGAUCCAGCCAUACCGCGUGGGUGAAGGAGGCCUUCGGGCUGUAAAGCCCUUUUGUUGGGAAAGAAAAGCAGCAGGUUAAUACCCCGCUGUUCUGACGGUACCCAAAGAAUAAGCACCGGCUAACUUCGUG
rnacentral:rRNA from 1 species